rnacentral:rRNA from 1 species
AUUGUAGGCUGCAACUCGCCUACAUGAAGUCGGAAUUGCUAGUAAUCGCGGAUCAGCAUGCCGCGGUGAAUACGUUCCCGGGCCUUGUACACACCGCCCGUCACACCAUGGAAGUCUGCAAUGCCCGAAGCCGGUGGCCUAACCACUUAUGUGGAAGGAGCCGUCUAAGGCAGGGCAGAUGACUGGGGUGAAGUCGUAACAAGGUAGC